rnacentral:rRNA from 1 species
CGAGACGACGCUGGCGGCGUGCUUAACACAUGCAAGUCGAACGGUAAGGCCCUUCGGGGUACACGAGUGGCGAACGGGUGAGUAACACGUGGGUGAUCUGCCCUGCACUUUGGGAUAAGCCUGGGAAACUGGGUCUAAUACCGAAUAGGACCAUGGACUUCACGGUUUGUGGUGGAAAGCUUUUGCGGUGUGGGAUGGGCCCGCGGCCUAUCAGCUUGUUGGUGGGGUAAUGGCCUACCAAGGCGACGACGGGUAGCCGGCCUGAGAGGGUGACCGGCCACACUGGGACUGAGAUACGGCCCAGACUCCUACGGGAGGCAGCAGUGGGGAAUAUUGCACAAUGGGCGCAAGCCUGAUGCAGCGACGCCGCGUGAGGGAUGACGGCCUUCGGGUUGUAAACCUCUUUCAGCACAGACGAAGCGCAAGUGACGGUAUGUGCAGAAGAAGGACCGGCCAACUACGUG